rnacentral:rRNA from 1 species
GAGUUUGAUCAUGGCUCAGAUUGAACGCUGGCGGCAGGCCUAACACAUGCAAGUCGAGCGGUAGCACAGAGAGCUUGCUCUCGGGUGACGAGCGGCGGACGGGUGAGUAAUGUCUGGGAAACUGCCUGAUGGAGGGGGAUAACUACUGGAAACGGUAGCUAAUACCGCAUAACGUCGCAAGACCAAAGUGGGGGACCUUCGGGCCUCAUGCCAUCAGA